rnacentral:rRNA from 1 species
AGUUUGAUCCUGGCUCAGAACGAACGCUGGCGGCGUGGAUAAGACAUGCAAGUCGAACGAGAGAAUUGCUAGCUUGCUAAUAAUUCUCUAGUGGCGCACGGGUGAGUAACACGUGAGUAACCUGCCCCCGAGAGCGGGAUAGCCCUGGGAAACUGGGAUUAAUACCGCAUAGUAUCGAAAGAUUAAAGCAGCAAUGCGCUUGGGGAUGGGCUCGCGGCCUAUUAGUUAGUUGGUGAGGUAACGGCUCACCAAGGCGAUGACGGGUAGCCGGUCUGAGAGGAUGUCCGGCCACACUGGAACUGAGACACGGUCCAGACACCUACGGGUGGCAGCAGUCGAGAAUCAUUCACAAUGGGGGAAACCCUGAUGGUGCGACGCCGCGUGGGGGAAUGAAGGUCUUCGGAUUGUAAACCCCUGUCAUGUGGGAGCAAAUUAAAAAGAUAGUACCACAAGAGGAAGAGACGGCUAACUCUGUGCCAGCAGCCGCGGUAAUACAGAGGUCUCAAGCGUUGUUCGGAAUCACUGGGCGUAAAGCGUGCGUAGGCUGUUUCGUAAGUCGUGUGUGAAAGGCGCGGGCUCAACCCGCGGACGGCACAUGAUACUGCGAGACUAGAGUAAUGGAGGGGGAACCGGAAUUCUCGGUGUAGCAGUGAAAUGCGUAGAUAUCGAGAGGAACACUCGUGGCGAAGGCGGGUUCCUGGACAUUAACUGACGCUGAGGCACGAAGGCCAGGGGAGCGAAAGGGAUUAGAUACCCCUGUAGUCCUGGCAGUAAACGGUGCACGCUUGGUGUGCGGGGAAUCGACCCCCUGCGUGCCGGAGCUAACGCGUUAAGCGUGCCGCCUGGGGAGUACGGUCGCAAGAUUAAAACUCAAAGAAAUUGACGGGGACCCGCACAAACGGUGGAGUAUGUGGCUUAAUUCGAUGCAACGCGAAGAACCUUACCUGGGCUUGACAUGUAAUGAACAACAUGUGAAAGCAUGCGACUCUUCGGAGGCGUUACACAGGUGCUGCAUGGCCGUCGUCAGCUCGUGUCGUGAGAUGUUUGGUUAAGUCCAGCAACGAGCGCAACCCCUGUUGCCAGUUACCAGCACGUGAAGGUGGGGACUCUGGCGAGACUGCCCAGAUCAACUGGGAGGAAGGUGGGGACGACGUCAGGUCAGUAUGGCCCUUAUGCCCAGGGCUGCACACGUACUACAAUGCCCAGUACAGAGGGGGCCGAAGCCGCGAGGCGGAGGAAAUCCUAAAAACUGGGCCCAGUUCGGACUGUAGGCUGCAACCCGCCUACACGAAGCCGGAAUCGCUAGUAAUGGCGCAUCAGCUACGGCGCCGUGAAUACGUUCCCGGGUCUUGCACUCACCGCCCGUCA